UGGGGAAUAUUGCACAAUGGGCGCAAGCCUGAUGCAGCCAUGCCGCGUGUAUGAAGAAGGCCUUCGGGUUGUAAAGUACUUUCAGCGGGGAGGAAGGGAGUAAAGUUAAUACCUUUGCUCAUUGACGUUACCCGCAGAAGAAGCACCGGCUAACUCCGUGCCAGCAGCCGCGGUAAUACGGAGGGUGCAAGCGUUAAUCGGAAUUACUGGGCGUAAAGCGCACGCAGGCGGUCUGUCAAGUCGGAUGUGAAAUCCCCGGGCUCAACCUGGGAACUGCAUUCGAAACUGGCAGGCUAGAGUCUUGUAGAGGGGGGUAGAAUUCCAGGUGUAGCGGUGAAAUGCGUAGAGAUCUGGAGGAAUGCCGGUGGCGAAGGCGGCCCCCUGGACAAAGACUGACGCUCAGGUGCGAAAGCGUGGGGAGCAAACAGG
rnacentral:rRNA from 1 species